CUUAGCAAAAGUGAGACAGCAGCUGAUCAAACCCAUGUUUGUGCUGGGUUUCCUGCCUCAGUGCCUAUCUUUCAUCCUCAGUAGAACUGACAAUGCGGACAGCUCAUGUUUGUGGUACGCUGAAGGGUGCUGACCUGGCGUGCAGAGCAGGAUUUUCUUUGUAGAAACGCAUGGAGGACACUAUACAGCCUGACACCCAGUAGAUCAUGAUAUUGGUGAGCAGAUCAUCCAGGUUAAACUUCCUGAAUAGUAUCAGGCUUCGUAGCCUGUAUGUGAGCGUAGCCAGACUCCAUCAAGAUCUUGUAGACGACUUUCUUUAAGUAGGGAAACAUCCGCCUGACAUCUUCAUCCUGGAACCCAAAGAGCCCUGGAAGAUAGCGGCCCAGCAGGAUAGAGAGCAGGGCACACAGGAUCUUUGUUUCUAGACUGGGAAAAAAACGAGUGCCAGGAGUUACUGUUCUGCUAAUGGGGUUUAUCUCACUGUGAGACUAGGCUUAUGCUCAGUUUCUUCUCACAGAUCAUACCUUUUUU